GCCGGGGUGGCAGAGCGGACCAAUGCGGCAGGCUCGAGACCUGCUGCCCCUUCCGGGGCGCAAGGGUUCAAAUCCCUUCCCCGGCG
rnacentral:tRNA from 2 species